rnacentral:rRNA from 1 species
GACGGAGGGUGCAAGCGUUGCUCGGAAUCACUGGGCGUAAAGGGUGCGUAGGUGGUUGGGCAAGUCUGAUGUGAAAUCUCCGGGCUUAACCCGGAAAUGGCAUUGGAAACUGCCCGGCUAGAGUGUUGGAGGGGGGACUGGAAUUCUCGGUGUAGCAGUGAAAUGCGUAGAUAUCGAGAGGAACACCAGUGGCGAAGGCGAGUCCCUGGACAACUACUGACACUGAGGCACGAAAGCUAGGGGAGCAAACAGG